UUGCUUUCGUUUGAUGAAGAUAUUCCUGUGGCUCCUGUUGUAAAUGGUCCUGCACAUAAGAACAUUCUUUCUCCCUCGCUGGUGGACGAUAUGAAAACACUUUCCAUUGGUGUCGUACAGAAUGGAGUUGCUGCGGUUGUGCAAAAGGUCGUAACGGACUUCUCUCAAUUGAGGACUUAUGAACUGCUCAAUAAGAUGGCUGGUCGUGGAUUG